CCUACGGGUGGCUGCAGUGAGGAAUAAUGGUCAAUGGACGAGAGUCUGAACCAGCCAAGUAGCGUGAAGGAUGACUGCCCUAUGGGUUGUAAACUUCUGUUAUAAAGGAAUAAAACGAGGCACGUGUGCCUUAUUGCAUGGACGUUAUGAAUAAGGAGCGGCUAACUCCGUGCCAGCAGCCGCGGUAAUACGGAGGAUCCGAGCGUUCUCCGGCUUUCUGGGGUGGAACGGGAGCGUAGAGGGGUUGCUAAGUCAGUGGUGAAAGUUUGCGGCUCAACCGUAAAAGUGCACUUGAUACUGGCAGUCUUGCUUACAGUUGCGGUAGGCGUCAUUCGUGUUGUAGCUG
rnacentral:rRNA from 1 species